rnacentral:rRNA from 1 species
UACGAAGGGGGCUAGCGUUGCUCGGAAUCACUGGGCGUAAAGGGUGCGUAGGCGGGUCUUUAAGUCAGGGGUGAAAUCCUGGAGCUCAACUCCAGAACUGCCUUUGAUACUGAGGAUCUUGAGUUCGGGAGAGGUGUGUGGAACUGCGAGUGUAGAGGUGAAAUUCGUAGAUAUUCGCAAGAACACCAGUGGCGAAGGCGGCUCACUGGCCCGAUACUGACGCUGAGGAGCGAAAGCAUGGGGAGCAAACAGG